rnacentral:rRNA from 1 species
UACGGAAGGCAGCAGUGGGGAAUAUUGCACAAUGGGCGCAAGCCUGAUGCAGCCAUGCCGCGUGUAUGAAAAAGGCCUUCGGGUUGUAAAGUACUUUCAGUCGUGAGGAAGGUGUUAAGGUUAAUAACCUUAGCAAUUGACGUUAGCGACAGAAGAAGCACCGGCUAACUCCGUGCCAGCAGCCGCGGUAAUACGGAGGGUGCGAGCGUUAAUCGGAAUUACUGGGCGUAAAGGGCACGCAGGCGGUUAAUUAAAGUUGGAUGUGAAAUCCCCGGGCUUAACCUGGGAAUGGCAUUCAAGACUGGUUAGCUAGAGUCUUGUAGAGGGGGUAGAAUUCCAUGUGUAGCGGUGAAAUGCGUAGAGAUGUGGAGGAAUACCGGUGGCGAAGGCGGCCCCUGGACAAAAGACUGACGCUCAUGUGCGAAAAGCGUGGGGAGCAAAACAGGGAUUAGAUACC